rnacentral:misc_RNA from 1 species
UGAAAGGCGAAACGUAAUGUGAAUCGCAACUAACAGUGAAUCAUCGAAUCUUUGAACGCAGGCCGCACCUUUCGGUAUUAUUUCGGUAAUACCGAAAGGUAUCUACGUAUGAGUGUCAGCCAAAUAUUCUUUUGGUUCAUGAGGGAAGUAUGGAAUUUACUGUACUUAAACUUGUGAAUACACAAUUGUCUUCAUGACACAUCACUUGAAGCUUUUGAGUGUCUGGCCUCAUAUGUGGAAGAUUACCCGCUGGAUUUAA